rnacentral:rRNA from 1 species
CCGGACCUGACUGCUAUCGGAUUGGUACUAAGCCAUGCGAGUCGUUGUAGCAAUACAAGGCGGACGGCUCAGUAACACGUAGUCAACCUAACCUAUGGACGUGGAUAACCUCGGGAAACUGAGAAUAAACCGCGAUAGAUCAUUAUGCCUGGAAUGGCUUAUGGUUCAAACAAUUUAUUGCCGUAGGAUGGGACUGCGGCCUAUCAGCUUGUUGGUGAGGUAAUGGCCCACCAAGGCUAUAACAAGUACGGGCUCUGAGAGGAGAAGCCCGGAGAUGGGUACUGAGACACGGACCCAGGCCCUAUGGGGCGCAGCAGGCGAGAAACCUUAGCAAUGUGCGAAAGCACGACUAGGUUAAUCCGAGUGAUUUCUGUUGAAGAAAUCUUUUGUCAGUCGUAAAACCACAGACGAAUAAGGGGUGGGCAAGUCUGGUGUCAGCCGCCGCGGUAAUACCAGCACCUCGAGUGGUCAGGAGGUUUAUUGGGCCUAAAGCAUCCGUAGCCGGCUACGCAAGUCUCCGGUUAAAUCCAGCUGCUCAACAGAUGGGCUGCCGGAGAUACUACAUAGCUAGGGAGCGGGAGAGGUAGACGGUAUUCUGUGGGUAGGGGUAAAAUCCACUGAUCCAUAGAGGACCACCAGUGGCGAAGGCGGUCUACCAGAACGCGUUCGACGGUGAGGGAUGAAAGCUGGGGGAGCAAACCGGAUUAGAUACCCGGGUAGUCCCAGCUGUAAACGAUGCAAACUCGGUGAUGCAUUGGCUUAUGGCCAAUGCAGUGCCGCAGGGAAGCCGUUAAGUUUGCCGCCUGGGAAGUACGGACGCAAGUCUGAAACUUAAAGGAAUGG